rnacentral:rRNA from 1 species
GAGUUGUUAUCUGAACUUCUUCACCCUCAAAGUGGAGAGGGUAGGGUAGCAGUAGUCAUCAUCAAAGUCCACCAGGAUACUCUCUUGGUGUGUACUGGGUGUUGACCUCCUUUUUUCUGGAUACUUCACUGUAUAACUUGUUGUACAGUGUUUGUUCCAGAUAGUUUACUUUGAAAAAAUUAGAGUGUUCAAAGCAGGCACAACCUGGCAUCAUGAAUACAUUAGCAUGGGAUAAUAGAAUAUGACAUUGGUCUUAUUUUGUUGGUUUCUAAGGCCAAAGUA